rnacentral:tRNA from 1 species
AUUUAAAUAGUUUAAUUAAAAUUUUGAUUUGUGGGAUCAAGGAUGUAUUGUUAUUACUUUAAAUA